CCUACGGGUGGCAGCAGUGAGGAAUAUUGGUCAAUGGACGAGAGUCUGAACCAGCCAAGUAGCGUGAAGGAUGACUGCCCUAUGGGUUGUAAACUUUUUUUAUAUGGGAAUAAAAUGUUCCACGUGCGGGAUUUUGUAUGUACCAUAUGACUAAGGAUCGGCUAACUCCGUGCCAGCAGCCCCGGUAAUACGGGGGAUGCGAGCGUUUUCCGGUUUUAUUGGGGUUAAAGGGUGCGCAGGGGGAAGAUCAAGUCAGCGGUAAAAUUAAGAGGCUCAACCUCUUAGAGCCGUUGAAACUGGUUGUCUUGAGUGAGCGAGAAGUAUGCGGAAUGCGUUGUGUAGCGGUGAAAUGCAUAGAUAUCACGAAGAACACCGAUUGCGAAGGCAGCAUACCGGCGCUCAACUGACGCUGAUGCACGAAAGUGUGGGUAUCGAACAGGAUUAGAUACCCUUGUAGUC
rnacentral:rRNA from 1 species